rnacentral:rRNA from 1 species
UUGUACCGACUGGAUGAGCAGCGAACGGGUGAGUAACGCGUGGGGAAUCUGCCUUUGAGCGGGGGACAACAUUUGGAAACGAAUGCUAAUACCGCAUAAAAACUUUAAACACAAGUUUUAAGUUUGAAAGAUGCAAUUGCAUCACUCAAAGAUGAUCCCGCGUUGUAUUAGCUAGUUGGUGAGGUAAAGGCUCACCAAGGCGAUGAUACAUAGCCGACCUGAGAGGGUGAUCGGCCACAUUGGGACUGAGACACGGCCCAAACUCCUACGGGAGGCAGCAGUAGGGAAUCUUCGGCAAUGGACGAAAGUCUGACCGAGCAACGCCGCGUGAGUGAAGAAGGUUUUCGGAUCGUAAAACUCUGUUGGUAGAGAAGAACGUUGGUGAGAGUGGAAAGCUCAUCAAGUGACGGUAACUACCCAGAAAGGGACGGCUAACUACGUGCCAGCAGCCGCGGUAAUACGUAGGUCCCGAGCGUUGUCCGGAUUUAUUGGGCGUAAAGCGAGCGCAGGUGGUUUAUUAAGUCUGGUGUAAAAGGCAGUGGCUCAACCAUUGUAUGCAUUGGAAACUGGUAGACUUGAGUGCAGGAGAGGAGAGUGGAAUUCCAUGGUUUAACGG